rnacentral:rRNA from 1 species
AGUGAACGCUGGCGGUAUGCUUUACACAUGCAAGUCGAACGGCAGCGCGGGCUUCGGCCUGGCGGAGGGUGGCGAACGGGUGAGUAAUGCAUCGAAACAUGCCCAGUAGUGGGGGAUAGGCCGGCGAAAGCCGGAUUAAUACCGCAUAAGACCUGAGGGUGAAAGCGGGGGACCGAAAGGCCUCGCGCCAUUGGAGGGGCCGAUGUCGGAUUAGCUAGUUGGUGGGGUAAAGGCUUACCAAGGCGACGAUCCGUAGCUGGUCUGAGAGGACGAGCAGCCACACUGGGACUGAGACACGGCCCAGACUCCUACGGGAGGCAGCAGUGGGGAAUUUUGGACAAUGGGGGCAACCCUGAUCCAGCCAUGCCGCGUGCGGGAAGAAGGCCUUCGGGUUGUAAACCGCUUUUGUUCGGGAAGAAAUCCUCUGGGCUAAUACCCCGGUGUUAUGACGGUACCGGAAGAAUAAGCACCGGCUAACUACGUG